rnacentral:rRNA from 1 species
GCUCAGAUUGAACGCUGGCGGCAGGCCUAACACAUGCAAGUCGAACGGUAACAGGAAGCAGCUUGCUGCUUUGCUGACGAGUGGCGGACGGGUGAGUAAUGUCUGGGAAACUGCCUGAUGGAGGGGGAUAACUACUGGAAACGGUGGCUAAUACCGCAUAACGUCGCAAGACCAAAGAGGGGGACCUUCGGGCCUCUUGCCAUCAGAUGUGCCCAGAUGGGAUUAGCUAGUUGGUGAGGUAACGGCUCACCAAGGCGACGAUCCCUAGCUGGUCUGAGAGGAUGACCAGCCACACUGGAACUGAGACACGGUCCAGACUCCUACGGGAGGCAGCAGUGGGGAAUAUUGCACAAUGGGCGCAAGCCUGAUGCAGCCAUGCCGCGUGUAUGAAGAAGGCCUUCGGGUUGUAAAGUACUUUCAGCGGGGAGGAAGGUGUUGUGGUUAAUAACCGCAGCAAUUGACGUUACCCGCAGAAGAAGCACCGGCUAACUCCGUGCCAGCAGCCGCGGUAAUACGGAGGGUGCAAGCGUUAAUCGGAAUUACUGGGCGUAAAGCGCACGCAGGCGGUCUGUCAAGUCGGAUGUGAAAUCCCCGGGCUCAACCUGGGAACUGCAUUCGAAACUGGCAGGCUUGAGUCUUGUAGAGGGGGGUAGAAUUCCAGGUGUAGCGGUGAAAUGCGUAGAGAUCUGGAGGAAUACCGGUGGCGAAGGCGGCCCCCUGGACAAAGACUGACGCUCAGGUGCGAAAGCGUGGGGAGCAAACAGGAUUAGAUACCCUGGUAGUCCACGCCGUAAACGAUGUCUACUUGGAGGUUGUGCCCUUGAGGCGUGGCUUCCGGAGCUAACGCGUUAAGUAGACCGCCUGGGGAGUACGGCCGCAAGGUUAAAACUCAAAUGAAUUGACGGGGGCCCGCACAAGCGGUGGAGCAUGUGGUUUAAUUCGAUGCAACGCGAAGAACCUUACCUGGUCUUGACAUCCACAGAAGAAUCCAGAGAUGGAUUUGUGCCUUCGGGAACUGUGAGACAGGUGCUGCAUGGCUGUCGUCAGCUCGUGUUGUGAAAUGUUGGGUUAAGUCCCGCAACGAGCGCAACCCUUAUCCUUUGUUGCCAGCGGUCCGGCCGGGAACUCAAAGGAGACUGCCAGUGAUAAACUGGAGGAAGGUGGGGAUGACGUCAAGUCAUCAUGGCCCUUACGACCAGGGCUACACACGUGCUACAAUGGCGCAUACAAAGAGAAGCGACCUCGCGAGAGCAAGCGGACCUCAUAAAGUGCGUCGUAGUCCGGAUUGGAGUCUGCAACUCGACUCCAUGAAGUCGGAAUCGCUAGUAAUCGUGGAUCAGAAUGCCACGGUGAAUACGUUCCCGGGCCUUGUACACACCGCCCGUCACACCAUGGGAGUGGGUUGCAAAAGAAGUAGGUAGCUUAACCUUCGGGAGGGCGCUUACCACUUUGUGAUUCAUGACUGGGGUGAAGUCGUAACAAGGUAACCGUAGGGGAACCUGCGGUUGGAUCACCUCCUUACCUUAAAGAA